UAGCUCUGUACCUCAUUUUUAAUGGGGU
rnacentral:piRNA from 1 species